rnacentral:rRNA from 1 species
AGGAUGAACGCUGGCGGCGUGCCUUAACACAUGCAAGUUCGAGCGGGAAAAUCUCAAAAGCAAAUCUUUCGGAAAGAACGAUAAUAAAAUGAAGAGCGGCGGACGAGUGAGUAACGCGUAGGCAACCUGCCCCAUACAGAGGGAUAGCCUCGGGAAACCGGGAUUAAAACCUCAUAAUGCGAAGGAUUCACAUGUUUUCUUCGCCAAAGAUUUAUCGGUAUGGGAUGGGCCUGCGUCUGAUUAGCUAGUUGGUGGGGUAACGGCCUACCAAGGCAACGAUCAGUAGCUGACCUGAGAGGGUAAUCGGCCACAUUGGAACUGAGACACGGUCCAAACUCCUACGGGAGGCAGCAGUGGAGAAUAUUGCACAAUGGGCGAAAGCCUGAUGCAGCAACGCCGCGUGAGCGAUGAAGGCCUCUGGGUCGUAAAGCUCUGUCCUUGGGGAAGAAAAAAAUGACGGUACCCUUGGAGGAAGCCCCGGCUAACUACGUGCCAGCAGCCGCGGUAAUACGUAGGGGGCAAGCGUUAUCCGGAAUUAUUGGGCGUAAAGAGUGCGUAGGUGGUUUUGUAAGCGCGGGGUGAAAGGCUAUGGCUCAACCAUAGUAAGCCCUGCGAACUGUGAGACUUGAGUGCAGGAGAGGAAAGUGGAAUUCCUAGUGUAGCGGUGAAAUGCGUAGAUAUUAGGAGGAACACCAGUGGCGAAGGCGACUUUCUGGACUGUAACUGACACUGAGGCACGAAAGCCUGGGGAGCAAACAGGAUUAGAUACCCUGGUAGUCCACGCCGUAAACGAUGAGCACUAGGUGUCGGGGUCGCAAGGCUUCGGUGCCGCAGUUAACGCAUUAAGUGCUCCGCCUGGGGAGUACGCACGCAAGUGUGAA